rnacentral:sRNA from 1 species
CCCAAGGGAUGUUCGCCUAAGGCCGCCACGUCCUGUGGCAACGUCAAACACCCCUGCGUCAUAAAGG